GUGACUCGAAGUGAUUGGCAAAGAUCUCCGCUCAGGCCUGCCUCCAGCCUUGCUCCGCCCCCAUCCCAUCCCAUCCCAUCCCGUCCUCCGCCAAAGGGGCGCGGCGUUUCAGCAGUUCCACUCUGCUGGGAGGGUAUCCCAGGCCCAAGGUCUGCAUCUCCAGCGGGGGCUGGCGGCCGCGGAGGCUCCCAGAAUAGCUGGUGUUUCCUAGAGGCGGUCGCGUUCGUGCGAUCCGGCCCGGGCGGGGGACAGAGGAGCAGGCGCUCAUUGGUUGCCAUGGCGGCGAUCCGAGAGGCUGGGGAUUGGCCGCAGAUUCUCCGCGCAGACCACGCCCAGCUCCUCUCUCGGUUGUCACCAGAACCAUCUGCAAGCAAAAUGGAACUGCCCAAAACUUCCAAGAGCCUCUCAACAUAGCAAUGAUUUGCAUCGGAAGAGCAGCCACAUGAAAGCGGAAGUAGGACUGUCUUAAUAGACUACACCCCUGGUUAACCAUAGACUUAAUGAGGUAAGAGAAUACAAUGUCAAUACUGUUAGGGGUGGGGUAGGGUGGGGAAUCACUUCUUCCAUAUUCCUUUUGUUUCCUUCCACGUGAAUGGAACUGUAAUAGCAUCACACCACUGACCUUUCUUUUCUCCUUCGUUCACACCAUCUUAUGGGAGCUGGAGUGGCUUGUCUGAUUGGUGAUCUUAGAAGGCGAAAGCGAGCACAUGUGUUCUAUCCCUUUCCUCUAGCCUUCCCCUUGUGAGUAGCCUUCUCCAGGGCAGGCUCUACUCCUGUUCCGGGAGGCUCUGUAGUUGUACCGUGAUGCCAGUUACAGAGGAAUAAGUCUAUUUGUCUGUCUAACUCUGCUUCGGCAUUAAGAAGUCCAAUUACUUGAAUGUCUGCUUUGUUAUUAAUAAGGGAGAUAUUUUAGCCUCCAUCUGCAGACUCUGUCUUGUUUCUUAGUUGAUUCAGAUGUUACGAGUAGUGUUAUUUACUAGACCCCCUCAAAGUCUCAAACAAUUAUCAGUAAUAUUAUCACAUAUAUGGAAAUAAAACUGUAAACAAAGAAAUAUGAUAGAGCUUU
rnacentral:lncRNA from 1 species